UAGAUUAAGUGUAGGCUAUGA
ensembl:piRNA 21ur-3238 ncRNA